UGUCGAUGUGAUAAAUCUUGUUAUUGUUUCCUGACUGCUGCCAAUCAAAGUUUUGGGCUCUGCCCCCUUUUGGAGAGACUUUAAAAUGCAGCGUGCCUGCCUGUUGUUGACGACUGAUCUGCUCCGAGGCUGACGGGUCACAAGGUCAAAUCAUGCCAGGGAAACCGGGUCGAAACAGGUCCAAGAGUCCUAAGGGGAAGUGCCACAGCCCCAAAGGGCAAAAACACUGUCAUGGAGGCAAAGAGAAGAAGAAGCGUCGACACAAGAAGGGGCAUCAACACAAGAGCUGCCACAAACAGUCGGGCAAAAAGUCCCACGGGGACUCCAGCAGCUCCUGCUCCUCCUCCUCCUCCUCCUCCAGCAGUGACUCCGACUAGAUGAACAUUUCUGGAUGAAGAUUUAAAUGUAUUCUACAAAGUUGUGGGGGUUUUUUUAUAUAACAUUUUUAUGAACUUUUUUUGUUUUUACUGAACUUUGUUUUCACAUGUGGUUUAAGGAAUUUUUUAUGGUUUUAUGGUGGAAAAACAAUAAUAAUAAUAACAAUAAU